CAAGUGACCUCACAAGGCAGCAGGACACUAUAAAACAAAACAAAAAGAAUGAAAAAAUUGAGGAAAAUGUGAAGCAUCUCAUUCACAAAAUAGACGAUUUAGAAAAUCAUUCAAGAAGAGACAAUUUAAGAAUAACUGGACUACCAGAAGACCAUGACAAAAGAAAAAGCCUGGACAUAAUACUAGAGGAAAUUAUCCAGGAAAACUGUUCCGAGAUCCUAGAACAAGAAGGGAAAGUAGAGAUUGAAAGAAUCCACAGAUCACUCCCUGUAUUUAAUCCCCAACUGACAACACCAAGAAAUGUUAUAGCCAAAUUCAAAAACAAUCAGAUGAAAGAACAGAUAUUACAAGCAGCCAAGAAAAAGCCAUUCAGAUACCAAACACGGUGAGGUUAACACAGGAUCUGGCUGCAUCCACACUGAAGGACCAAAAGGCAUUGAAUACGAUAUUCUGGAAAGCAAGGGAACUAGGUCUACAAUCAAGAAUAAAAUACCCAUCAAAACUGACUAUAUUCUUACAGGGGAAAGUAUGGUCAUUCAACACAACAGAAGAGUUCCAAGCAUUCAUAAAGAAAAGACAAGACCUGAACAGAAAAUUUGAUGUCCAACCACAGAACUCAAGAGAAUCAUCAAAAGGGCAGAGGAAGGAGGACAAUUGUUCUGUCUGCGCACUGUUGAAGAGGACAAGAGAAGUUCCAAAGCAAGUCUACUCUACUCAUAUAUACUAAAUCAAGUUUUUUCUUCAAAUAUGAGCCUUGGAGCUUUAUGGUCUAUUCUCUAUAACUUCCAAUUCCAGACCUCUCAGCACCCACAAGAGACUCAUUCAUGACUUCCUCAAUCAUACUUCUAUCUAUAGAUUCAUAGUCACAAGGCAGGCAAGCAUCUUAUUUGAAGCAGAAGAGUAUCCUAAGGUGGAGACAAGAGGCAGCAUGGACCAGGCAAGUCUUACCACAACCAACAUUUUGGCUACCAUCUCUCCUAGGAAUCUGUCUUAUGGAGACAGCUCAAGCUCCUAAACCCAAUAGGGUUUAUUACCCAAAUGCUUGGGAAUAGUCAAAUGCCAAACACCGAAGCCUGCUUCCAGUUCAGCCCCUCACAGCAAUCAGUAAGGGGAGAAAUCAUUUCAGAAGUAGUUCACUUUCCUAAUCACUACCAAUAACCACUAACCAACUACUAUCAACAAGAAAAUGGGCAACAAGAGCCCUGGGAGUGACAGCCCACCUUGGAUCACUGGUUUUAUUUCUAGCCCAUUCCUACAACCAUUACCUGAGGAGGCACCUCCUGCCAAGGGGCCAGCUAUCCCCAGGAAAUGAAAACCAAAUGUCACUGACAGAAAAGGCAAGCAAAGGCACCUAAAGUAGCAAGGCACUCUGGGAGAGGGAGGAGGUGGCCAGUGCUGGGCAUAUCAAACUAUCAUGACUGAUCCUUGGACCUUAAAGGCCCAGGGCCUUGAAUUCAAGAACCUUUGGAAAAGUAAUGCUUCCAAACCAGUGACAAAUGGUCAAACAUUAGAAACUGAUAGGAUUUUAUCAGUGAAAAUGGCAUUAAAAGAGAAGCAUUAUCACUUGAUUUGAUAGUGCCCUAAGGACCACUGGUCUUUUCAUUUAAUUGGCAGAUCCCACUUCCCAUAGGUGCUAUAUUUGCCCUUUACAAAAACAGAAUCUCCUUGAGUGCAGGGCCUGCUUUUUCUGUGUGGUAUACCUAUGUUUAGUGCAAUGCUUUAUACUUGGUUUAAUGAGUGCUAUACAAAUAAGUGUGUGUAGUAAUAAAUACUUCAUAAAUGUUUCA